rnacentral:rRNA from 1 species
AUUGAACGCUGGCAGCAUGCCUUACACAUGCAAGUCGAACGGCAGCACGGGUGCUUGCACCUGGUGGCGAGUGGCGAACGGGUGAGUAAUACAUCGGAACGUACCUUAUCGUGGGGGAUAACGCAGCGAAAGCUGUGCUAAUACCGCAUACGCCCUGAGGGGGAACGCGGGGGAUCGCAAGACCUCGCGCGAUUAGAGCGGCCGAUGCCUGAUUAGCUUGUUGGUGGGGUAAAAGCCCACCAAGGCGACGAUCAGUAGCUGGUCUGAGAGGACGAUCAGCCACACUGGGACUGAGACACGGCCCAGACUCCUACGGGAGGCAGCAGUGGGGAAUUUUGGACAAUGGGGGCAACCCUGAUCCAGCAAUGCCGCGUGAGUGAAGAAGGCCUUCGGGUUGUAAAGCUCUUUUGUCAGGGAAGAAACACCGGCUCUAACACAGUCUGGGAAUGACGGUACCUGAAGAAUAAGCACCGGCUAACUACGUGCCAGCAGCCGCCGUAAGAC